GAGCGAUCUCUGAGAAAGACGGCAAGAUGGAUGCGGGAUUCUUCCAUGGAACAAGUGCAGAACAGGAUAAUCAGUUCAGCAACAAACAGAAGAAACUAUUGAAGCAGCUGAAAUUUGCAGAAUGCCUAGAAAUAAAGGUGGACACGAGCAAAGUAAAUUUGGAAGUUAUAAAACCUUGGAUAACAAAACGAGUAAGGGAAAUCCUUGAAUCUGAAGAUGAUGUUGUGAUUGAGUUUAUAUUCAACCAGCUGGAGGUGAAGAAUCCAGACUCCAAAAUGAUGCAAAUCAAUCUGACUGGGUUUUUGAAUGGAAAAAAUGCUAGAGAAUUUAUGGGAGAACUGUGGCCCCUGCUGUUAAGUGCACAAGAAAACAUUGUGGGAAUCCCUCCUGCUUUUCUAGAACUGAAGAAAGAAGUAAUAAAACAAAGACAGAUUGAGCAAGAAAAAUUGGCAAGAAAAAACAAGAUGAAGAUUAAGAUAAGAGGGAUAAGGAAGAAAAAGAAAACAACAGAGAAAAAAGGGAGUGAUCUCGAAGCCCAAGAAGAUGCAAAUCCAGAUCUCCUUCCUCUAGAAGACGAUCUUCCCCUGUUAGGAGAGAGGGAAAGCUCAGUCAUUCUCUAUCGCCCCAUCACAGAACCAAGAGCCGGAGUACUUCCCCUGCCCCAGAAAAGAAGGAAAAAACACCAGAGCUCCCAGAACCUUCAGUGAAAGUAAAAGUACCUUCAGUACAGGAGGCCACUUCUACUAGUGACAUUCUGAAAGUUCCUAAGCCUGAACCUGUUCCAGAACCUAAAGAACCUUCUCCAGAAAAAAAAUUCUAAAGAUGAAAAGGAAAAAGACCUGACCAAGAUCUCGGACACGUUCCAAAUCAAGAUCCUGGACAUGGUCUCGCUCUCUUUCUCACACUCGACCUAGACGGCGCCAUAGAUCCCGAGCAAGAUCAUACUCACCUAGAAGACGGCCAAGCCCAAGAAGGUGGCCAUCUCCUCGAAGAAGAACUCCAUCAAGACGAAUGUCUCCCCCACCAAGGCACAGAAGGAGCACAUCUCCAGUAAGACGAAGAAGGUGUUCAUCAGCAUCCUUGUCUGGGAGUAGCUCAUCGUCUUCUUCAUCUCGUUCCCGGUCACCGCCAAAGAAGCCUCCCAAGAGGACAUCCAGUCCCCCAAGGAAAACUCUGACAAAACAUAAAGGUACUGAGAAAAGAGAGUCCCCUUCACCAGCACCGAAGCCUAGAAAAGUAGUUAUCUGAAUCGGAAGAUAAAGGUGGCAAAAUGGCUGCAACAGAUUCUGGACAGCAGAGAUGGCAGUACAGACGACAAAACCAGCAGUCUUCAUCUGACUCCGGCUCCUCCUCCUCUUCAGAAGAUGAGAGACCCAAAAGAUCCCUUGUGAAGAAUAGUGAGGUGGGCAGACGGUGGAGACAUUCCCCUUCCCGGAGUGCCUCUCCAUCACCACGAAAGAGCCAGAAAGAGACUUCCCCUCGGAUGCAGACGGGAAAGCGAGGGCCAUCGCCAGUGACUAAAAGGGGUAGAUAGAGGAGAAGUCCCUCCCCACCACCUGCCAGAAGGCGACGUUCUCCUUCUCCCGCUCCUCCUCCCCGACGGCUCAGGUCUCCCAGCCACCACCACGACGAAGGACUCCUUCUCCGCCACCACGUCGCCGUUCACCCUCUCCAAGAAGAUCCUCUCCUCCAAUACAGAGGAGAUCCUCUCCUUCUCCACCUCCUAAGAGAAGAACGGCUUCUCCCCAUCCUCCUCCUAAGCGAAGGGCAUCACCAUCUCCACCACCAAAGCGUCGGGUCCCCCACUCUCCACCUCCUAAACAAAGAAGCUCCCCAGCCACCAAGAGACGUCCGCCUUCGUUGUCAUCCAAGCAUAGAAAAGGGUCUUCCCCAAGCCACUCUACCCGGGAGGCCCGGUCACCACAACCAAACAAACGACAUUUGCCCUCGCCACGGCCUCACGCUCCUCAGACCUCCUCCGGUCCUCUACCUGUUUGAAGAGGAGCAUUGUCAUCACCUCAGAGAAGGCAGUCCCCGUCUCCAAGUACUAGGCCCAUUAGGAGAGUCUCCAGGACUCCGGAAGAUAAAAUGCCCAAAAAAGGCUGCCUCGCCAAGUCCACAGUCUGUAAGGAGGGUCUCAUCUUCCCGAUCUGUCUCUGGAUCUCCUGAGCCAGCACCUAAAAAGCCCCCAGCACCUCCAUCCCCUGUCCAGUCUCAGUCACCCUCUACAAACUGGUCACCAGCUGUACCAGUCAAAAAGGCUAAAAGCCCAUCACCAAGCCCAGCACUGGCAGGAAAUUCGGAUCAAGAAGGAGGCGGGAAGAAAAAGAAGAAAAAGAAGGACAAGAAACACAAAAAGGAUAAGAAGCACAAGAAGCACAAAAACCACAAGAAGGAAAAGGCUAUGGCUGCAGCUGCUGCGGCUGUUGUGACCCCUGCAGCCAUUGCUGCUGUCACAACCACAUCAGCACAGGAAGAACCAGAGGCGAUGCCAGAGCCAAAGGAGACUGAAAGUGAAGCUGAAGAUAACCUUGAUGACUUAGAAAAGCACCUGCGUGAAAAGGCCCUGAGAUCUAUGCGGAAGGCUCAAGUGUCCCCACAGUCUUAGGUGGAAAUGUUUGUUAUGAUGUAAAUUUUAUUUGGUUUGUACGC